CUAGGGCUUUCAGAAGGCGACGAAGGAAGGGACGAUCGGUCGGGUGGGGCAGCUGAUGGAGAGGCUUGACGGCGGUGCAGUGGGGCCUGGUGGUGGUGUAUGUCCACCCUUCCAUCGCCAACAAGAUGAUGAUGAAAUAUUUGAUGGCGUGAUAUUGGCUUAUGAAACUGAUAUUCCUAGAAAACGUGCAAAGAUCCUUUCGGGUCUAAGACUAUACUUUGGAGUUAAGUGAAAGCAAAUUUACUGCUUUUUCCUCCUCGGCCAAACAUGUUAUUAGUUUGUAUGGCAGCCUGAGCCAUUCUUGCAAGAAAAGGGAAGUAAGUUGAUAUAUGUUUAUGCCUGAUUCCUGAAGAAGCUGUUGAGACAAGGGGGAGCAGAUCAAGUAAAUGUAAUCUGUAGAAGAAAAAUUCUUAAAAGAGCUUUUAAUAUCAUGAGGACCAUUUUGAGCUUGUACCAAACUGCAUUAUUUGGUCGGUUUACAUCAUGAUACAGCCACCCCUUAUGCACAAGGCUAGCACCAUCAUUCUAAAGAAUUUUCAUGUAAGUAUUCUGAUAUUAUGAGGGUGUAUUGUGUCAGUUAGGAGAUGAUAAGUUCGUCAUGUUAUGAAAUACUCAUUUACCCUGUUAUUGUGUUUUGCAAAGUGCUUUAGACAUUUAGGGCAUAUUUGGGCACACAUUUGUAUUUUUUUAAUGUGCAUUUGGAGAAACAGGUUUAUGUGAAUAUGUAAUUGUGGAAUGCAUUGUCUGAUAAAAAAUAGAUGAAAACUGAAUCUUAAAUGUGUAUUGAUGUAAGUGUAUUUCAAAAGUCCAUUGAAUAUUAUGUGACAAAUUUAUCCAUCUGACAUUUUUAAUAUUUAUUCAAAAGUGAAUACAUAUUUUUGUAUUAAAAUUAAUAAGUAAAUAAAUAAACGAUGUAUGUAAUCUUAGAAAAAAUUUCAUAUGGCCUAGAUACAUAAUAAAUAAAAAAUAUAAUCAUAUAAAUGAAUGUAAAAUAACAUUUGCAAAUAAAUAAAUAAGAUUUCACCUUAUAAAAGAAAUAAAUCAUGUUGGUUUCUUGUAAGAGGAGUCGAUGGACUUGUGAGAGCCUAAGAGGAGAGUCGGCGAUGGCAAAAAUCAAGAGAAGGGGAGAGGAAAUAAGAAUUAGGGAUUCUAUUAUAUAGUGAUAAUCUUGUAAUUUGAGAGAAUGUCAUAGGAUACUUUGGGAAAUCUAAAAAAAAUCAUUAGUAUCCCACAAAUGCUGAAAUACUAAUGCUAUCUUGAGGUAAUAUCAGUAUUUGAGUAUUUGCAAUGCAGCAUCUAGGCCAAAUGCCAUUUGAAAAAGUUUACCAAGCAUCAAUUCACAUUUGAAAUGUGCAUUGGGCCCUCAAUGCACAUUUUGAAUGUGUUCCCAAGUACACCCUUAGACUCUCUCCUAAUCUUACUAGUGCAGUAAUGCUAUGGCCUGUAUGUUGCACAUGCAAUUGGAAUGUGAACAUUUUUAACUUAUUGAUCAUACGAGGAAUCAAAACUUUGAAACUAAGUUAUGUUGCUUAAAGAACAAAAUGACAUGAUACUUUAUUCCACCUUGGAAAAUUUCUGAUGUCACACUUCUCUCCAAAAUCCUUCUCUUUAGUGCUUGGGAACAUUGCUGAGUGGCAACUAACAUUGGAACAAACUAAAAUGAACAUGGUUUCCUCAGCAUGAGUGUUCAUAGUUUUUAUUGUGUCCUCUUUGGCAUAUGUCAGUCCAUAUCAACUCUUCAAGUCAUGGUAGCAAAAUUAACGCAUUGAUAUAUGCACUUGAAGGUUGUGGGACAAUAUGUCGACAUCAGUAAAUGUAGAAGAAUUCUAAUUUGUAGUUGCACCUGAUAAUGGGACACCAUAAUUAUAAUUUAGAUGUAGCUCCAAUUUAUGGCUGGUUAAAUGGUGAGAUUUAUUUGUGAUAUGACUUUCAUGCUUCCUAGUCAUAUGGAUAGGAAUUGUUGCUACCUCUCUAGGUCUGUGCUUAUUUUUGCUGUGCAUAUCAAACCAGCAUAAAGUGUUAAUGGACUUCCUUUUCCGACACUUCAGCGUGGUAGAUAGGUAUAUGCUUCUAUACAGAGCUCAUUUUUCACCAUGCCUUCAUUAAAGAAGAUGGCUUUAGUUUUGAUAUUAUAUGACAACAAUUGUCUCUGUCAUCUUUUGCUACUGGUUGCUUAAUCUAUUCUGAUGUUUGUUGACUUUGUUUUCUUUUUAUCAAGAAAAUUUAGUAAUAUAAGAUUAAUAUCUGAUUACACAGAACUAGGCAGUUCUUCUAUUGUAAUAAACAAUAUGGUAAUACGAUGGAUCAUAGACCCACAGAAACUGUAGUAAUAUGACAAAGAAGAACUGAUUGCUCUCUUGCAACUCAUGACAUGUUUAUUAGCGCUAGGCUCAAGUCUUUCUUCUUUAUUUUCACUCCUAUUCUGUCAUAACACUUUUUCUAGAUUUUCGUAUGAAAGAAGUUGCAGAAGUAUCCGAAAAAUAAAAGUAACAAAACUUUGCCUGGAGUUGGUAGAACUUGAAACUUCGCCUUUAGUAAAAUUUACUUCUCUGGAGAUGCCUUAACAUCACGGUAUGUCAUUUAUUUUUCUCAUGCCUCAUGUUUCACUCGUCCACUUUGUAUCAGCCGAAGAAGGUAUCCUUUUAUAUUCAGCCAAUAUGUUUUUCCAUUUUCUGUAGCAUCUAUGCUAGUCAAAAUUAAUAGGAAGAGCAUAAAGAUUAUUCAGUGGAAUAAAAGUGUCAAACAUGAUUAAGGCUGGGUAAUUAUAGGUAUUUACUCACGUUUUUCUUUGAUUCCUCUGGGAGCAUGUGACUUUGUGAAUAAGUAGGGUGUAUCUGACAUGCUAACACUGUACCGAUGUUGGAGAUGCUGAAAGUGUUCACAUACCACGACAAAUGAGUAUUUCCAUGCUUCAAUGUUUAUUAAGAAAAGGCUCAAUACUAACAUAUGGGACAGUUGACUAUAACGAUAUUGAGCCAUGCAGUUUGGACUGACUAUACUGUAAUGGUAUUGUGUGAUAUAGUUUGGAUGAAGAAAUACUUAACAGAUCUGGAUCGUUGGUUCCGCCUGACACUGGAUGCAUCCGAGGGUUCUCUUAACAUGGUGUAGAAGAUGGACCACAUAUGGGCAGUUACACUCUAGAAUAUAUGAAGAAGUUUGAAGAGGCUAAAGGAUGUUGGGAGGGAGCUGCAGGUAGAAGCUACCAUCCAGUCGGUUGAAGACAAGCUACUGAAUUCGCCGCACCCACACAAGUCUAGAAAAUAGACUCGUGAAAGAUCAGAAUUCUUCAGAGGGGCCUCUUUCUGGUGCAGUAUCGAUCGUGCAAGAUGAAAUACAUUUGACAAAGUCUCAUGUAUUUUGUGAAAUGCUGGCUGGCUGCCUGGGCAAGAGCACACAGUGGUGGCACAGUUUUGAGUUAACUUUUUUCCGAGGGGUAGAUUGGUUUGAGGCUUUUGGUUUUCCGGUAUAUGGUGCACAUCAUCAGUCUUCUUGUUUUCACAAGAAAGCCCGGUAAAUCGCUGGGGAAAAUGUGUUUUAAAGUUUCUUCACCAAACUCUCGAACAAAUUAUAGUUUCUGGUUAUUGUACUAUACGAAUGUUGCUCCCCUCCCUGUGGUGCUUAAACCUCAUUAUACUGGCAAUUGUUGGGCAUGUGAAUCAUCUUGAAAUGGCAAAAAUGAUGCAUUUAUCA